rnacentral:sRNA from 1 species
CGAACCCAGGGCCUUGCACUUGCUAGGUAUUAUGAUAAUUUUUAUAAAAGUGGUCACAGUCCAUUAAUAGAGUUGAAAUUUCAUUUCACUAAGACACUCCCAACAUUAAAAACACUUCAAUUUCUAUUACAUAAAAUUGGGGGUGGGAGUUGUUCAGUUGGCAGUGCCUGCUGCGCAAGCACGGGAACCUGAGCUCCAUCCCUAGGACCCUCAGAGGGAUGCGGCUGUGGUGACUCGCAAUCCUUGCACUGACGCAGCGCCCGCACACGCACAUCCCUGCUCCCUUUCUCUUUUUGUACUGACUUUUCUUGCCUUUGAGUUGUGAACCUAGCCUUCAAUGGCUGAGCUGUCGGUACAGACUUACUAUCUACUUUUGCUAGUCUUACACAUGUGCUAUACUCUCACGGGCAGAAAGGGCUGACAAAGCCUUGGACCUGCAUUAUCAGAGCAACGCUGUGCAGUCUAUGCCAUCAGAUUCGUUUCUGGAAGCAAGAGAGAACAAAGCAAAGGCAUAAGCUCAAGUCUCCGUGGGCUCCAGCCUGCACUACGUACACAGUGAGACCCAGGCUCGCAAAGGACAGAGAAAGUCUACUGGUGACAUAGCUAGGUUGGUGCAGUGCCCGCCAGGCAAGCAUGAAGCUCUAGGUUCAAUCUCCAGUACCACAUAAACUGGGCGUGAAAGCAUACACUAUAAUUUAGAGACUAGAGGUUGGAGGAUCAGAAGUUCUAGGUCUUUGACCUCACAGUAGGUUCAAGGUUAGCCUGGGACACGCAAGACCCAACAAACAAACAAAAUAAGCCUACCUAAAAUAUUUGUGCAAAAAAACCUUUAGAGUAUAUAAAUGACAGGGCUGGUAAAAUGCUCAAACUCUAAGCAUAAGCCUAUAAUGUCUAUGAAGAAUAAUCGAGUUAGAAGGCAGUAAAAUAAUUCUUCAUUCAUAGACAGGUUAGACCUAGAGUAACACAAACAGUCAGUGUGGCCAUUCUCCAUCUUCCCGCCAGGCGGUCAACAGAAUGGGAACAAAAGUUAUCAACUAAAUAGUGUAAGCCAUUUUACUUAACACGGUACAAUGGUUUGUACAAUGGUUCUGGAUCUGAGAAGAAAUGGAUUCUCUGUAAUUUUAAAACGUUUUCAACUUUAUAAAAUGACUUAACUUCAACGGCACUCACCCUUACGUGACACAGCUCGCAUACGAGAGGCCACGUGAUGCACUUUCCAGAGCAACUGAUCUUUCAGUUCUCUCUAAAAUCAGGCCAUGAUGGUUUCUUGUUAAAAUGAAUAUAAAAAUUUAAAGAAACAACUCACAGGGAAGGCAGUGAGGUAUGGGCAAACUCCAAAACGUUAGGAACUUCUUGUUUAGUAAAAGCUGUACUGUUAAAUGUGUGUUUAGUGAAAGCCGUUCUAUUAAACAGUUAUGAGCCUGCGACCUACAUACGCUCAGAUUCCUGUUUCGCCAGUACAUAGAUGCUUGAGACUUACUAAAGAACUUAAACCUCUCCCUUCCCCCAACCCGUGUGAGUGUGUGUGUGUGUGUGUGUGUGUGUGUGUGUGUGUGUGUGUGUGUGUACAGCAUAUGCACUUAUGUGUGCAGGUACACGUGCACACGUGAAGCCUGAGGAGGCUGUCAGGUGACCUCCUCUCCCACUCUCUGCUCUAUUCCUUUGAGGCAGGGUUUCUCCCUGAACAGAGCUCAUGUCUCCAGCUAUGUGGUGGCCAGCGAGCUGCAGUCGUCCUUCUAGCUCCAUGCUCCAGGGCUGGGUCAUAGGCACGUGAGAGACCACACUGACUUAUAGGUGCUAGGACCUGGAUCCAGGUCUUCACGGUUGUGCAGCAAGGACUCUUAGCCAGAAGCGAACUCUCCUAGACUUUAAAAUUUCAAAAGGAUUUCACAAGGAAUUAAUUUUAUAAAGCAAAAUAUAAUUGGUUACAGGAAUAAUUAUUUCCUACAGUCCUUACAGUUAAUUUUGUGUUUGUGAGUAUAUAUUAAGUAUUCAGUAGAGAAUAAUUGAAUGAAACAAAUAAGUUUUCUAUACUAGGGUAUAAUGUAUAUUCCUAUGUUUAUGAAAACAAAAUUAACAGCCUUGCUUAUAACCAGUGAUUCAUGAAAAAAGUAGGUAUUAAGCGUUAAUGGUAUAACAAGGGCUGGAGAUCCAAAUAUGCUAUGGUAGACGAAGUUCUCCCUCAUGAAACUUAUAGUCUAGGAAAACAGCAGAGAAAACAGACCAAACACUAGACACUGUCAUAGUGCUUCCAGGGAAACACUAGACACUGUCAUAGUGCUUCCAGGGAAACACUAGACACUGUCAUAGUGCUUCCAGGGAAACACUAGACACUGUCAUAGUGCUUCCAGGGAAACACUAGACACUGUCAUAGUGCUUCCAGGGAAACACUAGACACUGUCAUAGUGCUUCCAGGGAAACACUAGACACUGUCAUAGUGCUUCCAGGGAAACAAAAGGCAGCGUUGUUACGUCACAGCAAGGGGAGGGUGAGUUAAGAGUUAGAAAGGCCUGCUUGAGGAGGGACAGGUGAGACAGAACCUAAACAAGCUAUCUGCAAGAAUGAGGAAAAAAUAUUAAACCAGUUGGACAAAUAAAGCAAAAGCACAAAGAGGAUGGCGGGACCUAACUUGGUACAUCUGCGUUGAGGUUUGGUCUGUUGCUAUGCAUCGAAUACUUAAUACUGGCCCCCAAGAUCUGGUGGCCUUGGAGACGAGGAAAUCCCCAAGUACACCAAGGCAUGCUAUGUAACCUUGCCCCCAAGUUAUCUCUGAUGGGUCAAUAAAGAUGCCUACAGCUUGUAGAUGGGCAGAAGAGAGGAAGGUGGGGCUUUUGUUCCAGGGCUUGGGAUCUGAGGCAGAGCUGAGGAGGAGGAGGAGGAACAAGAAGAGGAAGAAGAGGAGGAGGAAGAAGAGGAGUGGGGGAAAAAGAAGAAAGGGAGGAAGAGGAAGAACGAAGAGAGUGAGGAAAGGAAGAUGCCAUAGGGCCAUGAGGACUGGCCAGUUGGAGUAAAAGCAGUCCAGGUAGAACAUGGCAAUUUAUAUCUCAGAGUUACUGGCAGGGAAGUAGACAAAAUAGCUUAGUGGUUAAUAUCUGUCCAGCUCUAGUGAUGUCUAAAGCUUAUUAUAAAUGUCAAAGUUUUGUGUCUUUUAUCUGGGAACUAAAUGAUCUAAGGUGGGGUAGAAACCCCCAAUUGAUAUUAAUUUUAACUAUAACAUAUAUGAGAAAGGAAACAGGCCCUGGUGGCAGCAGCUGCCAAGGGACAAAGUGACAUGGAUGAAGCAAUGGUAGGAUGACUGACCCAACAUGGAGGGUGCUACAGGCCCAGGAAAAGCUAAUUCAUUCAAGGGAACGGGGGGGGGGGGGGGGAGGAUUAAAGUAAAACCUCUCCCAGUAAGUGGUUGGGUGAGGUUCUGCUUAAGCACACUCCGCCUCUGCUUACGGUUUGUUCCAGCAGAAAACACAAAGCCAAAGCUGAUGCUACCAGCUGGCCGAACAGCACCGGAGCCUGCACAUAUCACACCCUCGCUGGCGGCACUCCAGCUCCUCUGGUAAGGAUGAUUCGUCUCAUUCUGAGCUGAUUCUAGUGAGCCACCUACUGGCUCAGGGACAUUCGACUUCUUACCCUACAGAUAUCUGCACAACUUAUAACUGGAAAAGGAAACCUGGAUGGAAAUUCCUGCUGGAUGGAUUCACUGGUCAACUCUACAUAGCAAAGGUAGAACUUCAGACUAGUUAGCACAUGGCGCACAGGGCAAGAAGCUACUGAACCAAUGUUAUCCGUCACAGCAGCAUGAGCCGCUCAUGAGCGGGAAGCCUAAGGAACUCUGCAACUCAAAUGUUCAGCCUGGCACACUUCAGGAUCUCCAUGUUCACUGUCAGCAUAUUACAAUUACCAAAGGGGACCUGUACUUCUAUCAACGAUCUCAUUCCCUGCUUUUCACUAGAACCACCUCAGGCCCACGAAGACACGAUGCCCCAUACGCCACCUGCAGAAUGUCUCUGUGUCGCUGUAGCGUGUGCAUCAGGGCUGCGUUCAGGGAGGGCACCCCUGCACUUCUCCCCAAGUAGCUGGUUAUUGGCCUGCAGUCUGGCUAGGUCUGGAGGAGUGCUCAGAGUACCUGCGGAAGAUGCCUCUACUGUUUCCUGCUUCACUGACACAGCUUUGAUGUCUGCUCUGCUCACAUAGGUUUCUCUGGCUUCACGAAUUCAGUUGGUGAAGGGAUACCUCUCCUCUGUGUUCUGUGUUUCAUUAGAAGCUGUGCUGCGAAGAUGGCCUCUUCAGGUCAUACCUACACAACUCAGACCACACGUACUUGACGCCCCAUCCUCCGGUUUGUGGUGAUUCUACAUGGGAUCCAGUAGCCAACAUGAGCUUCAUAAACUUGGCAGUGGAAAAAUGUUUUUGGACAUUUUAUGUUACGCCAUCACUAGGAAUUAAUUCAAAAUCAAAUGUGCAGCUUCCAAGGUUAUCUGGGCUGCACCCGCCCGCGUUUUCUCAGAAAACUUCACUCCAGUUUGGUUCUGAGCAUACGACCCACACUGUGCAUGACAACUCAUGACAUAAGGGCAACAAAAAAUGUGGCCAGCAA